rnacentral:lncRNA from 1 species
GGCACAGGGCCAUAUAAUCCCCUUCCUAGCAUUAGCCCGUCGCUUGGAAGAAACAAACAAAUACACCAUAACCCUUGUUAACACCCCUUUAAACCUUAAGAAGCUCAAAUCAUCUCUCCCUCAAAAUUCCUCUAUUCACCUUCUUGAAAUUCCUUUCAAUAGCGUAGAGCAUGACCUCCCUCCAUGUACUGAAAACACAGACUCUAUUCCGUAUCAUCUCUUUCCAAAAUUCCUUCAAGCAUCAGCAUCGCUCGAACCCCACUUCAAGAAACUAAUCUCUGAACUUGUCAAUGAACAAAAUGGCCAAAAACCACUUUGUAUCAUCACUGAUACGUUCUUAGGCUGGUGUAAAGAGACAGCACAAGAGUAUGGUAUUUUUCAUGCUAUAUUCAUAGGAGGUGGUGGCUUUGGCUUUGCUUGUUUGUACUCGAUGUUGCUAAACCUACCUCACCGCAGCACGGAUUCUGAUGAAUUUCUGUUGCCGGAUUUUCCAGAAGCUUCAACACUUCAUGUAACACAGAUAUCUCCUUACUUACGUGCUACCGAUGGAAGUGAUUCUUUUUCAGUGUUUUAUAAGAAGUUGCUUCUUCUAUGGAAGGAUGCAGAUGGAAUUUUGGUUAACACGGUUGAGGAACUUGACAAGAUUGGACUGAUGUAUUUCAAGAGAAAAUUUGGCCGGCCGGUUUGGCCAAUAGGGCCUGUUCUUUUGUCCAUGGAAAGCAGAGCUGCGGCCAGAAAAGAGUACGGAAUCUCCACAGAGUUGUGUAAAAAAUGGCUUGAUACAAAGCCGUACACUUCAGUUCUGUACGUAUCAUUCGGUUCACAAAACACAAUAGCUGCAUCACAAAUGAUGCAAUUGGCAAUGGCUUUAGAGGCUAGUGGCAAGAAUUUCAUUUGGGUUGUCAGGCCGCCGAUUGGCUUUGACAUAAAUUCUGAGUUUAAAGCCAACAAAUGGCUGCCUCGAGGAUUUGAAGAAAGAAUCAAAUGUUCAGGACAAGGGCUAGUGGUACCCAAAUGGGCACCUCAGGUGGAGAUUUUAUCUCAUAGGUCUGUAUCCGCAUUUUUGAGCCACUGCGGAUGGAACUCUGUGCUUGAAGCUUUGAGUCAUGGGGUGCCGAUGAUUGGGUGGCCAUUGGCAGCAGAGCAGUUUUAUAAUUCUAAGCUGUUAGAAGAAGAGAUGGGGGUUUGUGUGGAGAUAGCAAGAGGGAUGAGUUGUGAGGUUUUGAAAGAGGACUUAAGUGCAAAAAUUGAGUUAGUGAUGAAUGAGACUGAGAAAGGAACAGACUUGAGAAACAAAGCUAAUGAGGUCAAGGUGAUUAUUAAGAAUGCUGUGAGAAAUGAAACAAAUUUUAAGGGGUCUUCUGUCAAAGCCAUGGAUCAAUUCUUGAAUGCUGCAUUGAUAACGAGACAGAUGGAAAAGGGAGCAUCAAAGGAUGAGGUUUGAUUUUGCGUGGAAGGAAGUCUCCAUUGCCAUAUCUGUCAAUGAAAAAUAACGUUAUCUUUUAACGAGACAGUUUUUGGAAAAUUCUUGAAGUAAUGUUAUCUUUGUAUUAACUUUCGAUCAAUAAUAUGAAAUUUAAUUUUAUAUAAAUUAAUCCCAUACCAAAGAGCCACCUCUGUUUUUUGUGACUACAUCUAUCAAGAGUUUGAGUUCAAAGCUUGUUAUUUCCGAGUGGGAUCAAGAAUUUAUAGAGCGUAAUUCCUUAGUUUUUUUUUUUUUUUGAGAUAGAGCAUAAUUCCUUAGUAUUUAAUGUUUUCAAUAAAUGAAAGUAAGAUAGGGCCGGAAAAACAUCACCCACGAUCCACAUCAAGCCCAACCCAGACCAUAUCAUUUGGGCUGGUUUGAUAAGGAAAACUCAAUCUAUUAUAAAUUUCGGCAGGGAUUGGGUUGAUGAUUUUCACAAAAUAAUUUCUAAAAUGAUAUAUCGAUAAAUUACUGUUAAAAAAAUAAUAAUAAAAGGUAGAAAUCUGCAUCUCUUGAUUUGUCAAUGGCACCAUCAUCGUCAAUGACCAAACUUCUGAUCGUGGGUAUAACGAUAUUUAUAAGUUUUGGCUAAAUCAGAUUGCCACCAUUAAAUUUUUUAGUUAUUUAUAUCUUAGAUUUUUCUAAGAUCAUAAUAUGUCAAAAUAAAUUAUGGAAUCUAAAAGGAAAAAAAAAUUUAACUAACUAUACUUUUUUUUAAUGGAAAUGCAUUUUGAUUAAAGUAUAUUAAAAUGUUAAUAGUAAGAAUAAACAUAACUUUUCAUAUGAAAUUUUAGUUCAAUCGCAUGCCGUAAAUUUCAAAAUUUGGGACGCCAUAAAUUUCAAAGUUUGAGAAACAAAAAAGUUAUGAGAUUUUUCUAAAUAUGUGCAUUGAGAUCUCCUUCUUACCAUUCCUUAAUUACAUAUUUUUUAUUGUUGAAUUAUAUUGUGUUUUGUGUUCACUUAAAAUAGGAUUCAACUUUAUACCAUUCAACCAAUCAUGUUAAAAUGUUGGAUGAAAUUGAAUUAAAAUUAUUCAUAGCAUUAGAUGGAGAUUGAGAUUUUAUAAACAAAUGUUGGAUGGUGAUUGGAGAAAAGAGAUAUUGCAAAUGGCGACGCUGAUCGGAGAAAACAAAAAUACCCUAAAGUAUAUAAACGCUUGGUUUCGCAAUGAUAUAUAUUGUCUGAUUUAUUGAAAUUUGUUUUAAAGUAUACUCUAAUUUACUGGAUUGCUUGAAAAAAUAAAGUGUAAUGUUAAUCGCAUCUCGUAGAUUUGUAUGCAAAGUAAAUUUUAAUAUAAUAUUUUAAAUUAAUUAAAAUAACAGUAUUUUUCCAUUACAAUAAUAAAUCGUCUUUAAUUAUUUAUGAAGACAAAAUUUGGGCUAUUUUCAUAUUGAAAGCACAUAUACUCUUUGUCUGCAGGGACGACCCUCCAAGACUGAGACCAUCUAAAACUUGACUCAACAACUCUGCAUCGUAUAUAUAUUCCCAAAAGAUGAAAGCUUUGGUUUCCCAACUAAGUCACCCACCUCUGCUUUUCCCCUACGUAUUAGCCUGCGUAUUGGUGUUGGAUCAAUGUUGUAUAUGCCUUCGCUACAAAAUUAGACAAUUUUAAAAUUUUUGGUGAUUAUGAUCCUAUUUAGAAUUGAAUUGUUGUAACUUUUAAAUUACAAGUGUUGUGAAAAAAAGAUAUAAUUAUGAAUUAAGAGUAAAUAAUAUAUAGUAAAUAUAAUUUUUAAAUAAUAAUUUUACUAAAAUUAUUAAAGAUUUAUUAGACUUUUCAUCACACAAAUAUAAAAUCAAAUCAAAUUAGCUUUUAAGAUAUAGCAGUUAAUGUUUACCAAACACUUUAAUACUGUAACUUUUAAGGUAUACAUGUCCAACCUUAAUUCCAAAUAUAGUCUAUGAGUGUGUUUGGGAGUGAUGCGAGACAACUCAGUUGCUAAUGUGUUUGGUUACAUCUUACAGCUAGACUUUGACAGCUCAACAGUUUAAAAAUUAAGGUUUUUACUCUAUAGCUAUAAUUUUUACUCUACAACAACUGUAACUUAAAAACUACAGUACCUUACUUCCAAACACACCUUAUAUCUAUCACAAACUUGUUCAGAUUACUAACUAAUUAUGCGUUAUUUAACAUAGUAGAAUUCAAUAAUUCACUUAUUAUUAAUUUUUUGUUUUAGAUUUAGGUCUCUUGACCAUCUUUCACCGAUACAAACUGUUUUAUUACAUACCAAAACUGUUAAAAUCAAGGACGGAAGCAGCAUUGGUGCUACUAGGAUUAGUUGUCCCCACUUAAUUAAAAAAAGUAUUUAUUAAUCUAUUUUAUGCUUAAGUCUCACCCUGUAAUCUUUUAUCUUGAUUUCAUUGUUCAAGCCAUUUAUCCUUUAAAAUUAUUUGAACAACUCAGUAACUUGAAAUUAAAAGCCUAAUAGCCUUAAUUCCAGUAUGUUGCCAAAAAAAAAAUAAUUUAAUUAGCAUUGAUAAUAAAAUUAUUACGCAAUCAACUCAUAAAAAUUAUAUAUAUAUAUAUAUAUAUUAUGAGUGAAAGAUAUAAUCUUAUAGUUAGAGUUGGCAAAACGGGUCAUCGGGUCGUGUUCGUGUCGUGUCAGCUUCGUGUCGUGUCAAAUUUAAGUCAACCCAAACCCGACCCAUUUAAUAAUCGUGUCAAAUUAUUGAGACCCAAACCCGACACCGAAAAAUAAUCGGGUUACCCAAUAAUCUGCUUAAUAUCUAUAUAUUAAACAAAAGUUACAUCAAAUAUUUACACUUUGUCAUACAUAUGUAUGUACAUACAUACAUACAUCCAUACAUACAUACAAAAUUUAUCAAUAUUAUAAAAUAUACAUAUUUACUAAAAUAUUACACACACUAUUGAUGUUUUAAUUAUAUAUAUGUAAAUAAUAUUAUAUAUCAAUAUUAUAAAAUAUACAUGUCUACCAAUAUUUUAUACAUUUACAUUAUUAAAGCUCUAAAUGUAUUUAAAAUUUUAUAAAUAAAAUAUUGUGUCUAUAUUCAUCUUUUUAAAGAAUAAAAAAAUCCUAAUAUUUGAUUUUUGAUUACAAGAAUUUGUAAAUUAUUUUAAAAUAGAAAAUAUAAUCGGGUCAUUGAUCGGGUAAAUGGGUCAAGAAUUUUAACCCGAACCCGACACGGAAAAAAAUCGUGUUGACCCCGACCCGACCCAUUUAAUAAUUGUGUUAAAUUCGACGAUCCAUACCCAUUUAUUGGUGUCGUGUUCGUGUCGGGUAAUCGGGUCGUAUCAAAUUUUGUCAGCUCUACUUAUAGUUAUUAUUAUUUUUAAAAAAUUACCCCCAUAGAACAAAUUUCUAACUUCAUCCUUUCUUAAAGUAACUCACGUUAUUUCAAAUUUUCAACAAAAGCCAAAGACUAAUAGGUAUAAAUAAUUAUUUUAAAUUUUUUAUUAAAACUUAGCAGUUUGAGAAAAUUUUAUUAAAUAUGAAAUAAGAAAUGAAAUACCAAAUUCAGAGAAUUUAAUUACAUUAUUUUUUUCCCAGUUGGAAAUAUGUUGGAAAGAAAUGCCUUCAAAAUUUGCCAUUAAAAUAAGAAAUAUGUUUAUUAAUAUAAAUUAAAAAAUAAUGUAAUUAAAUUGGUUAAUAAAUAUUUGAUUUGGUUGGUCAUUUAACCAUAAAGUGACAACAUACAAGCGACAGAGUUGACGACUUUCUGUGCAGUGUGGAGCCCAUUCUAGACACAAAAAGUUAUGGAACAAACGGUGCCACCAAACAAAUUUUUACUUCUAUGAAAAGGAAUCAAAAAAUGAUAAUGAUUUGAUGUCAAAAGUCGAUAUGAUCCAAGCAAUGCUGCAAAACGGUGCCCACCAAACAAAUUUUUCAUUGUUAUUACGUUAAAAGACAGAAAAAAAAAACAAUUUGGAAACAGUACCAAGCAGCCUACUAAAAUUCUCGAAUUAUUUAGGAUUGGGGUUUUCUUUGAUGUUUAAUGAAUUAUUAUUGGCAAAUUGUAGUGAGUCAACAAUUGAAAUUAUAUUGAUCAAAUUGUAUCAGAACAUGAAUUCAUAUAAGUAAAUAGUAAGUAAAAGUUACUAGAUAGUCUACAGCAAAUCAUUCGAGCAGUAAUAAAAUAAACAAUAGAAAAGAAAAUGAAAAAUAGAAAACUUAGAAAAAAAAAACGAGGCCCGUUAAACAAUAGUUUCCUUAAAACAGAUUCAUCACCUACUACAGUGCUGUUAGGUUCAUUAGUAUUUAUUUUUUAGGAUACAAUAGGAAUAAAUUAUUUGUCAAGCUCAUACAAAUAAUUUCGGUGAACAGCAACAAUGUAGAAUCUCGAUCAAAACAUAACGUUAGAGGGAAAAAAAUUUCUUUUCUUUUCAACUGUUCUGUGUGUUUGUUGUAUAUAAAACAUAAGAGAAAUAUUGUUUUUUUAUAUACAUGAGGGUAUGACUGUUGAAUAAUAAAAUUGAAUAUUUGAAUUCUAUAUUUAAUUUAAUUUGCUUCUGUAAUAGCCCGUUGAAUUCAAAAUAUUUAAUUUUGUAACAGCUCAAAAUUUAUUCACAAAUCAAAACUGUUUUUGAUUUUUAAUUGUGAAAACUGUUACAAAAUUUAAAAGGAAAUAAAAAAAAUGUGGUCAUGCAGGCUUGAGUGAUUUUUUUGUCGACAUUCGCAUAUGCAAGACGCGUGGGUGCACACGAGUUCAACCAAAUUGAGUUUGGAUUGCACUUCCCCUCCCCCCACAAGCAGCGUAGAGAGAGCCUCUAUCUUUAAAAUUCUUAUUCAUGUAUGGAUAGGUAUCUAUAUAUAAACAUAAAUCCCUUAGCUUAUUUUUCCUAUGUGAGAUAAGUUUUAUUUUUUUUCAAAUUUCUAACUUCAAGAGUGCACUUUGAGAUUCAAUUUUCUCAUUCACCCAAGCAUGAUUUUGAAUAUAUAUAAAUAUAUCAUUCUAAAGUGUUCACAGAAUAGAAUCCAAACCUCUCAAUAUUUAAUUAACAAUAAUGAUAAAGUCAAAAUUAGUUUUGUACAACCAAUGGGUCAUUUGUUUUUUUUUUUUUUUGACUUAAUGACUUAAUUGACUUAAUUUAAUCAGUUAAGUCAUUAAAUCUAUUUAUUUUUUUCAACUUAAUGAAAAUUUUCAGUCAUUAGGUCAUUAAACUAUUAAACUAAUUUUUUAAAACUUUUUGUUUAAUCUAAAAAGUCUGAAUGAUAUAAUUAAAAGAUAUUCUCCAAAGUAUCCCUAUCUAAUUAAUUAAUUUUCAUUUUUACCUAAAUAAAAUUUAAUAAUGAGCAGUAUUACCCAUCUCUAUAUAACUUGUGAUAAUAUAUAGUUGUAAAGUAUUAUUUUUUUUUAUCUUUUUAUUUUGUUUCAAAUUAGCAUUAUUUAUCUUCAUAAUUUGUUAUGAAUAUUAUUCAUAUAAAAAUAUCAUAAACUAUAAUAAAUUUGAUAAACAUAUAUAAUAUUAAAGAGUUGUAUUCAAUUGAAAAUGAUUUAUGUUAUAAUCAUAUAUUAUCUUAUUUAUAUUCUUUGAGAUAUUUAUUUAUUUGUUUAACUUUUAUAAUUUGUAAGGGUAUAAAUGUAAAAAUAUUCGUUGUCAGAUUUUUUAAGUAAAAAAAAACUUAAUAUUUAUUUUUAGUGAUUCAAAUAAAAAAUAAACAUAUCAUUUAAAUUCAUACAUUCAGCUCUAUUAAGAAUUAAAACUAAUUCAGAUCUAUUCAGAUUUAAAAAAAAAAAAACAAACACCACUUAAAUAUAUAAAAAUUAAUGUAAUAUGAAGAAAUUAAUUGAAAAGUGAUAACAAUUAUCUUUUUCAAAUAUGUUGAGUCAUGGUGAUUUUAUACAAACAAUCUCCUCAUGAGAUUAAAAUGAGCAAUGUGUCAAGGGUAUAGCAAAAUUAUCAAAAUGCUCGGUUUGUUAAAUUUAAUUUUCAAUUUUUAAAUUUAGAAAGUCAAAAGUCAAACUAAAUCAUUCGGUCUUUAAAAAAAGCAAAAAUACCAAAAUGACCCCGCUCCCCUUCUUAACCAGUAACCACCCGAUCCUCCACAAUUUCUCCUUAUCCUCUCAUCAAUAGCAAUGGCACAAAGAAAAGAAAACAUAGUGAUGUUCCCAUUCAUGGCACAAGGCCAUAUAAUCCCUUUCCUAGAGUUAGCCCUUCAGCUGGAAAAAACAAACAAAUACACCAUAACUCUUGUUAACACCCCUUUAAACCUUAAGAAACUCAAAUCAUCUCUCCCUCAAAAUUCCUCUAUUCACCUUCUUGAAAUUCCUUUCAAUAGCGUAGCGCAUGACCUCCCUCCUUGUACUGAAAACACAGACUCUAUUCCAUAUCACCUCUUUCCAAAAUUCCUUCAAGCAACAGUAUCGCUCGAACCCCACUUCAAGAAACUAAUCUCUG